CCCCCGCCCUGUAACACCAGGACCGCUCUGGUGCCGCGCUGGCCCAGCCUCAACAGAGGGUCCAGAACCCAGAAGCCACACUUCAUUUUCCACUGCCCCACAAAGAGGGGCUUUUCCCCCUCAGGCUGGCAGAGAAAUCUGGCUUAGUAUAUCAGGAGAGAAAUGGAGAUGACGACUGUGCCUACUUCCCAGGGCAGAAAGAUGAUGUGAGGCUGGGUCUACAGAGCCCUGAAGAAGGGAGAGAGCAGCUAAAGGAAAGAUGAACCCCCUCAUCAGAGGGCACAUUGGCAUCACUGUCAUGAGGACAGAAUACCAGCUCUGCCACUUACCAGACACGAGCCUCUGCCAAGCUCAUAAAGCUUCUGAAGCCAGAUUUUCCCAUUUGUAAAACAGGGAUAACAAGCCCCACAUCAGAGAGUUAUGAAUGAACCCACUCACAGAG